UGGUUCCGGCAUCGAUGAAGAACGCAGCGAAAUGCGAUAAGUAAUGUGAAUUGCAGAAUUCAGUGAAUCAUCGAAUCUUUGAACGCAUAUUGCGCCCUUUGGUAUUCCAUAGGGCAUGCCUGUUCGAGCGUCAUAAAAAAAUUCAAACUUUUUGGAGUUUGGUAGUGGAAUCGGCGUUUUGGUUUUUCAGUUCGCCCUUCCGAAUAACAGUGCCGGCAUUAUACAAAUGUCUUGGAGCGUAGUAACAUUUUUUUCUCCUUCAAGUCUUGUAUUCAACUGCUCGCUACAGAAACACAUUUACUGGAGUAAAAUCCAAAUUUUUGACCUCGGAUCAGGUAGGGAUACCCGCUGA
rnacentral:misc_RNA from 1 species